UACGGAGGGAGCUAGCGUUGUUCGGAAUUACUGGGCGUAAAGCGCACGUAGGCGGCUUUGUAAGUUAGAGGUGAAAGCCCGGGGCUCAACCCCGGAAUUGCCUUUAAGACUGCAUCGCUUGAACGUCGGAGAGGUGAGUGGAAUUCCGAGUGUAGAGGUGAAAUUCGUAGAUAUUCGGAAGAACACCAGUGGCGAAGGCGGCUCACUGGACGACUGUUGACGCUGAGGUGCGAAAGCGUGGGGAGCAAACAGG
rnacentral:rRNA from 1 species